rnacentral:rRNA from 1 species
UACGUAGGGGGCAAGCGUUGUCCGGAAUCAUUGGGCGUAAAGCGCGUGUAGGCGGCUCGAUAAGUCUGCUGUGAAAGUCCAGGCUCAACCCUGGGAUGCCGGUGGAUACUGUCGAGCUCGAGUCCGGAAGAGGAGUGUGGAAUUCCUGGUGUAGCGGUGAAAUGCGCAGAUAUCAGGAGGAACACCGGUGGCGAAGGCGGGUCUCUGGGCCGAUGACUGACGCUGAGGAGCGAAAGCGUGGGGAGCGAACAGG